rnacentral:rRNA from 1 species
UACGUAGGCAGCGAGCGUUGUUCGGAUUUACUGGGCGUAAAGGGUCCGUAGGCGGCCCUGUAAGUCAGCGGUGAAAUCUCCCGGCUCAACCGGGAAAUGGCCAUUGAUACUGCAGGGCUUGAAUUAUUGUGAAGUAACUAGAAUAUGUAGUGUAGCGGUGAAAUGCUUAGAGAUUACAUGGAAUACCAAUUGCGAAGGCAGGUUACUAACAAUGGAUUGACGCUGAUGGACGAAAGCGUGGGUAGCGAACAGG